CUUCUGUAUACCCCAAACUAGCGAUGUAGGUUAAGGGUUUGAAUAUGCUCAAGAAACCUCUAAAAACGCCACCUAAAGGCAUUAGAUGCAAAGGUUAUUAUUUUUAAGAAAGAGAGAAGGAAGAAUUAUCGCCGCACCAAUGGACAUCGCCAGGAGCUGACUAAAUUAAGGAUAACUGAUAUUCAAGGAAUUGAGAAACCUGAAAAGAUAGUCACCGCGAAGCCUACGAAGGCUGCUGAGAAGAAGCCAGAAAAGGUUAUAGUCACUGCGAAAGAGGGAUUUUCCAGGGCUAUACCUUGACAAUAAUGCUGUCCAUGCUUAUAACUUCUGAGUUGACUUUCUGAUGCUAUAUAUACAAUGAGCAUGAUUCCAUUCCUAAGUUGGAGCAUGUACAUAUUGGAUUCAUGUGAAGCAGAUAAACAUACCACCAAUCCAAUUGUGUACGUGUUGUAGGGGGCUGGUUGCAUGACUUUUUGUUUUCUUUGUAUUUUUGUAUUCGGUAAUUUGAUUCAUGAAACCUUCUGUAGAAUCAAUCAGUUUUGCUCCCAAAUAGAGAUGAUUCCGAGCUCUUAGAGAAUUACAUAUCCAUUCGGAAGAAUACCUAUUCCUUACCUUUUUGAGAGGAAGUAAUGGCCGUGCAACCAAACAACAGGAUAAUUAUUCCAUUUCUCGGUCUAUCCCUGCAUACCAAGCGUGCCCUAGGAGUCUAAAGGAUAGAUUGUGAAUGUGGUUGCAAACCUAUGUACUGGAUCUUCUUGUAUGUUUUCAGAAUGGCACUUUAUUUGGUUCUUGUACCACUGCAUAAUGAUCAUAAGCUUUUAGCUUGUUUUGAUUUUAACUCUUCUAAAGUCAAACUUGUUAUCCAGGUCAGACUGUAA